AUGGAGGUGUGGCUGAGCUGGGUUUUUCUACUUGUUAUUUUAAAAGGUGUCCAGUGUGAAGUGAAGCUGGUGGAGUCUGGAGGAGGCUUGGUUCAGCCUGGGGGUUCAUUGAGAAUCUCCUGUGCAGCCUCUGGAUUCACCUUCAGAAAUGACUACAUGGAAUGGGUCCGCCAGGCUCCAGGGAAGGGACUGGAGUGGGUUUCACUCAUUAGAAACAAAGCAAAUAGUUACACCACAGAAUACAAUGCAUCUGUGAAAGGCAGAUUCACCAUCUCCAGAGAUGAUGACAAGAACAUGCUGUACCUGCAAAUGAACAGCCUGAGAUAUGAGGACACGGCCAUGCAUUACUGUGCAAGAGACAAAGUGAGGAGACUUCAUUGUGAGCCCUGA